rfam:Oryza sativa (indica cultivar-group) chromosome 2, whole genome shotgun sequence.
AAAAAGAUAAAUCCUGGAUUUCCGUGUCAACGUUUAACUAUCCGUCUUAUAUGAAUUUUUUUAUAAUUAGUAUUUUCAUUGUUGUUAGAUGAUAAAAUAUGAUUAAUAUUUUAUGCGUAACUUGUCUUUUUAAUUUUUUUUAUAUUUUUUUUAAAUAAGACGGACGAUUAAACGUUGUGCACGAAAACUCAUGGUUUAUCUUUUU